GAUCCUGGCUCAGGACGAACGCUGGCGGCGUGCUUAACACAUGCAAGUCGAACGGUGAAGCGCCUUCCUUUGUGGUGGGUGUGGAUGAGUGGCGAACGGGUGAGUAACACGUGAGUAACCUGCCCCCUUCUUCUGGAUAACCGCAUGAAAGUGUGGCUAAUACGGGAUAUUCUGUGCCUGCUGCAUGGUGGGUGUGGGAAAGAUUGCGCCUUUGGGUGUUUUUGGUGGGGGAUGGGCUCGCGGCCUAUCAGCUUGUUGGUGGGGUGAUGGCCUACCAAGGCGGUGACGGGUAGCCGGCCUGAGAGGGUGGACGGUCACACUGGGACUGAGACACGGCCCAGACUCCUACGGGAGGCAGCAGUGGGGAAUAUUGCACAAUGGGCGCAAGCCUGAUGCAGCGACGCCGCGUGAGGGAUGGAGGCCUUCGGGUUGUGAACCUCUUUCGCCAGUGAAGCAGGCCUGUCCCUGUGUGGGUGGGUUGACGGUAGCUGGAUAAGAAGCGCCGGCUAACUACGUGCCAGCAG
rnacentral:rRNA from 1 species